CCUACGGGAGGCAGCAGUGAGGAAUAUUGGUCAAUGGACGCGAGUCUGAACCAGCCAUGCAGCGUGAAGGAUGACUGCCCUAUGGGUUGUAAACUGCUUUUAUAAGAGAGUAAAUUGAGACACGUGUACCUUUCUGUAUGUACUGUAUGAAUAAGGAUCGGCUAACUCCGUGCCAGCAGCCGCGGUAAUACGGAGGAUCCUAGCGUUAUCCGGAUUUAUUGGGUUUAAAGGGUGCGUAGGCGGGUGGUUAAGUCAGUUGUGAAAGUCCGCGGCUCAACUGUAGAAUUGCCAUUGAUACUGGCAGUCUAGAGUGUAGUUGAGGUAGGCGGAAUGCGUGGUGUAGCGGUGAAAUGCUUAGAGAUCACGCAGAACACCGAUUGCGAAGGCAGCUUACCAAACUGCUACUGACAUUGAUGCACGAAAGCGUGGGGAGCAAACAGGAUUAGAUACCCUAGUAGUC
rnacentral:rRNA from 1 species